CGCAGAAGUCCCUUUGUCCCGCCCUGGGCUCCCGGCUCCCUGCUCCGGAGGGUGUCUGCCUUCCCGUGAGCAGGAGCUGGCCCUGCCUCCCAGCCUGGCGACAGCAGGGAGGGAGGGUGGGACAGGAGGAGCACGUGCAGUGCCGGGGGAUGCGGAAUGUAGGUGAUCAAGAAGAAAGCCCUAAUUAGCUCCUGCAGGCUCUGAAGGCAGGGUUUGGUGAGGGAAUGGGGUCACGGCUUCUCCUCUCAGCACACACCUGGGGCCCGCGGGUACCAGGCGACUCGGCAGGGAGCUGCCAGCUCUGCUGGAGGGUCGAUGAGGGCCUGCAGAGAGCGGCCAUGAGGAGGGGACUCUGGCACAGAGCCCAGCAGGACGUGGGGACGAGCCUCGUGGGCCCCUGGGGAUGAAUGCCCGGCGAGGCACAGCAGGCCAGUGGGGCAGGCAGAGCAAGGCAAGGGCCUCGCCACGCCUCCUGGGCCUUGGGGGGAGGCUGGCAGCGGCCCCCUGGCCACCAGCAGACCUCAGAAGGACCCAGCUCUUCCCCCACUGGUGCGGGGAGUUGCUCCUCCUUGUCCCAGGCCCCACCACACUUCCUGCCCCUGACCCUCCUGGUCACUCACCUGUGGUCAUGAGCUGGACAUCCCUCAUGGUGGGGACGCCACACCUGGGGGGCCAUGGGGAGUCAGGGAGUGCCAGGUAAGGGGUGCAGGGGGGAGAGGUGGGUGACCCACCCGCAGGUGAGCAGAUGCAUUUGGGGGUGUUUCCCCUCCCCCAAGGGUUGGGCCACAAAUCCCAGGGAGAGCUCAGGCGCCCAGCUGGGCUGAGAGCCCCCGGUGUAGCUCAGACCGCCAGCUCCGGUAAAGGCCCUGCGUGGCCGGCAGCGGCUGCCCCCCCACGAGGCAGUAGCAGGAGAACCCACCUUCCUCUCCGGGGCCUUGUGGUGGGGCCAUCGGGUCUCGCUGCAAAACCCUGGAACUGCUCGUAUAGAGACAGAAAGAAAUCCUGGCUCCACCCAGGGGCCCUGGGUGCCACCCGUGCACCUAAACGAGGGGCUUUUCAACGUCAUCCUGCUUCGGGGAGCCUUUGCUUUAAAGCAAACCUCUCUAAGGGAGAAAGAUGUGACCAUGAGCUGGAACAGCCGUAUCCCCGGCCUGUAGACCCAGAAGCCACGUGCCCAGGUGUGCAAGUGUGCAACACUCUCAAGUCCCAUCAGUCAGGACUCAGGGCAGCAAGUGGCAGAAGCUUAAACCAGCUUACAGGAAAAGAAGCAGUUGACUGGCUCAGUGAACAGGAGUCCUUGAGCAGACGUGGGCUUCAGGCACAGCUGGAUCCAGGCAUUCAGGGAGGCUGCUGGGCUCUCCCUGUGCCCGCCCAUGGUUCUGUUUCCCCACAGGGUACCUGCUCUCUCUGCCUGGCGGGGAGAUGGCUACUGCAAGCCCUGCCUUCCUGUCACCCCAGCUCGGCAGUCACAGUGUUCGGAAGAGCCCGAGAAGACUCUGAAAGGCUUCGCCCAGAUUUCAUGUGGCCUCGCGGGCAGGGAGCGCAGGGGCUGCAGUUAGCAGCUCUGCUGGGCUAACACAGCCUCAGCACAAAGGCAAGGGCUGGCACUGGAGGGCGGCACCCCUGGGGAUAAAAGAGAACACAGGUGUCCCCACCUCCCUCCUGGCUGAGCAACAGCUGAGCUACUUAUAAAGGAAGGUAGGUUUGACUUGUGUCUUCCGCUCUGGCUCAGUUUGGGGGGCCCUGGGCCUGACUGCAGGGCUAAGAGCGAGACCUGGGCAAGGCCUGCCCCAGGGCAGCUCUGAGACCCUGGCUCAGAGGAUGCAGAGGGUAGAGCUGGGGUGGGGGGCGGGAUGCAGCACGCCGGGCCUCCCCACACCCCACCCCGAGGCAGGCUGGGGGCAUCUCCUGGGCAGGGCACUGUGAGGCUCCACCCCACCACCCAGUCCACCGACUCUGAGGGAUGUCAGCAUUCCCACCCACCCAGCCCCUGGCCCCAUUUCCUGCCCUGGCCUGGGCGGCAACCUUGGCCAGGAGGCUGCAAUUGUUCUCUGUGGGGCUCUCCACCCCGCCCUCCUGCAGGUCACCGGCAUCCUCGGGCCGGGGAGUGCUGCUGGCGCAAUGCCCAGGACACAUCCUGGGUUGAAAAUGUCCAGACUGAGAGGGGGUAGGAAGCUGGUGCAGAGACCCAAAGACCCAGAGAGACCGAGGGUCAGAGUGGCCCACACCCAGACCCUGACACCUACACAGAGAUGAGAGCGUGAGGUUGCCAAGGCAGUCACCAGAGACAUGAGCAAACAGGAACACAGGGACACAGUGCCUCAGUGCCUAGAGAGGGGGAGAGGCCUCAGAGGGAGCCCAGUGGAUGGGUCCGGGGUGCUGAGGAGGGCUGGCCCGGGUCAGUCACCGCAGCCAAACCUUGGGGCUCUGAGCCCUCAAGACCCCUUCUGGGAUCUUCAACUUUCUCCUCCCCAGCCUGGUCAAUCCUCCUGGCCUGAGGUGCCACCUACCUGCCUGGGUGUGCUGGGGGGAGGUCCCUGGGGCCAGGGAGUGGGGACACACACACCACGAGUGGGCCACUCUGGCUCGGUGGCCACAGGCCAGUGCAGGGUGACCGAGGCUUCCCACUCUGACCCUCCUCCGCCCUCCGAGAAUGGGAGCAGCCUGCAUGUUCCUCUGUCCCCAAGUUCCCAUCACCUGCUGUGGGCCCGCCUGGGGAACAGCAGCGCCAGCUGUUCUGGGGAUUCAGCUCCCCGAGGAUGGCGCACCGGCUGGGCUCCGUGGCUCCUCUGACACCUGCCAGGAAGCCAGCCUGAGGCCAUUGCCAGUGGGCAGGCGGCUAAUGAAGAGCCUCUCUGGAAGCAGGGGACCGUCCAGUGUAGGCUCUCUCGGGACAAAGAGGUGCACAGAGGAGAAGGGACACAGGUCCUCACAGCCACGCAAGCCCAGAGCUGCCCCCCACUCUGCAGCCACUUACAGGCGAAAGUGCCACACCUCGCCAAGUCACCCAAGUGCUGCCACGGUCAUGCACCCUGGCAUCCGGACACCGGCCGGAAGGACCCCUUCCUCCAGGCCUGCAUCCCGGUGACUGUCCCAUCUGCACCUGGGCGCUCGGUCUCCUCUCAAGCUGUCCGACAGGCAGACCUGCCACGCCGACACUCCCUGUGAAGCGCUCGGGGACUUGGCCUCGUGGCUUGGGGGGAAGGUCCCGCCCAGCUCAGGACACAGAGGUCUCCUCGAGGGAUUUCCUCCCUUCCUGGCCAGGAGAGGAGACCCUCGAGUACUUCCGGCGACUCACUGGCUCCCCGGCAUGGGGUGCUGCUUUAUGAGCUACUUUUUUAAAAAAUUGUGGUGAAACAUGCAUAAAAUUUACUGUUUUAACCAUU